UCCAGCCAUCUUCUGUGACUUCAUAUGCUGCAACACAGGAGAAAUCUCUACAUUCGUCUCAGUUCUUACACAAAGCGGGUGGUGUUACAUCACACCACCCUUUAGGUAUUUAUGUCUUGGCCUACUUUUUUGUGUGCAAAAUUCCUGUGAAAUCAACAAAACUUUCUACCAGUAUGUAACUUGUAGAACUUCCUGUUACAAUAGAAUGGAUUCAGCUCAAAUUUCUUCCUAAGUGUGAAGAGUAAUGAUUCAGAGUUACCCAUUUGCAAAAUAGACAUUUUUGGAAAUUCUUAUACACCUUUUAUACACACCAGUCAUGGAAAUUUCUCCAACAGAAAAAUGUCAGAACAGAAGGAAACUGGGAUGGUGAAAUACUCACCGGAGAGCCAUCACUCCAGGAAAGUCCACCGUCAGGAUCCAAACACUGCAAACCUAUCCAGAAAGGCUGAAAUGAUGGGGAUUUCUUUCUAAAGUGUGAAAAAAAAUGUACAGUGGAAGAGGACGUAUUUGGUUAGCCCUGCUCAAUUUUAAAAAUUAUGUGGGACAAUAAAUGUGACACUUAUUGAAAACUUCAAUGCAGAAAUUUAAAAAAUAAAAAGUACUGUUGGUCAGCAAACUCCCAUUGGCAAGUACAUGAAGUUCGCACUUUAAAACCUCCUGCUUUGCAAAUAGUUGUAUUGAAAACACAGCAUGUUGGUUUUCUACAUUGAUGUUGUGAUUAUAGUGGUUUUUUCUCAGAAAUAAAAUGUUCAGGCUGUUGGAA